UACGAAGGGGGCUAGCGUUGUUCGGAAUCACUGGGCGUAAAGCGCACGUAGGCGGAUCUUUAAGUCAGGGGUGAAAUCCCGAGGCUCAACCUCGGAACUGCCUUUGAUACUGGGGAUCUCGAGUCCGGGAGAGGUGAGUGGAACUGCGAGUGUAGAGGUGAAAUUCGUAGAUAUUCGCAAGAACACCAGUGGCGAAGGCGGCUCACUGGCCCG
rnacentral:rRNA from 1 species